AUUGAACGCUGGCGGCAGGCCUAACACAUGCAAGUCGAACGGUAACAGGAAGCAGCUUGCUGCUUUGCUGACGAGUGGCGGACGGGUGAGUAAUGUCUGGGAAACUGCCCGAUGGAGGGGGAUAACUACUGGAAACGGUAGCUAAUACCGCAUAACGUCGCAAGACCAAAGAGGGGGACCUUAGGGCCUCUUGCCAUCGGAUGUGCCCAGAUGGGAUUAGCUAGUAGGUGGGGUAACGGCUCACCUAGGCGACGAUCCCUAGCUGGUCUGAGAGGAUGACCAGCCACCCUGGAACUGAGACACGGUCCAGACUCCUGCGGGAGGCAGCAGUGGGGAAUAUUGCACAAUGGGCGCAAGCCUGAUGCAGCCAUGCCGCGUGUAUGAAGAAGGCCUUCGGGUUGUAAAGUACUUUCAGCGGGGAGGAAGGGAGUAAAGUUAAUACCUUUGCUCAUUGACGUUACCCGCAGAAGAAGCACCGGCUAACUCCGUG
rnacentral:rRNA from 1 species